rnacentral:rRNA from 1 species
UACGGAGGAUCCGAGCGUUAUCCGGAUUUAUUGGGUUUAAAGGGUGCGUAGGUGGAUUGGUAAGUCAGUGGUGAAAGUUUGCAGCUUAACUGUAAAAUUGCCGUUGAAACUGCCGGUCUUGAGUAUGGUCAAGGUAGGCGGAAUGUGUAAUGUAGCGGUGAAAUGCUUAGAUAUUACACAGAACACCGAUUGCGAAGGCAGCUUACUGGGCCAUUACUGACGCUGAUGCACGAAAGCGUGGGGAUCGAACAGGAUUAGAUACCCGCGUA